AAGGGAACAGGAAAGCAGGGAGAGGUGGACACUAAAACCCAGUCGAUAUAAAAGCUCUAAAAGAGCCAGCCAGUAAAAAUAUCACAAUGAUACAGGUACAAAAAGGAUAAAAAAUAACCGUGGGGUGAUAAAGCAGGCUACGCUGCCAAGGACAAAGAUGGCCGCCCUGGCUCCGACCAUCAAAAUGGCUGACCCCGGCCCACAGGUCCCUCACUGCCUCGCCCCCGCCCCGCUCCCACAUGGCCACGGCAGAAGAAAUGGACACUCUCCACCUUGGCCAAACACCUCCUGUCCUCCCUUAAGACAAGAUCCGAGGAGUGUUAUUAUCUCAGCAGAAGAAAACUGAGGCAGACACUUCUGCUAUGAAGAUGUCCACCAAAAGCGCAGCAACAUCAACAAUUGGACCAUCAACAUGAAUUAGUCUUCACCAUGGUGAUAUUCAAUGCUCUCGACCUAAAUCUCCUUUUCUACAUGAACCAAUUCUCUCCGAGGGUUUUCAACACAGGCAGCACAUCUAACUCCAAAUGUCUGACUUCAAACACACCACCACAGACACCGAAACAGAGCAGGGAGCAAGCCACUCCUCUGUCUGCAAACUGUGGCUUUACAAAGCUGCUAAGCCUUGUGGGAGGUGAAAAGUCACCAGCAGUCCUCUCUGGCAUCUGAUGAGUGAAACAGGAAACAUAUGGUCCCCCUGGACACAAUAGAAGCGGGUAUAAAUUGUCACCUCCUCACUUGUGAACACACCACCAGCUCCACAACAUUACAAACACUGUGGCAGGGACUGUUCCAGCCUGUGAGCAGCAGCAGAUGCUCUCCAGUGUUAGCCCAGGCUGGGCAUCACUCCCCAACUCCACUGCAUUGGGUUGUAGAGAGGAAGAAACAGGGGAUGGCGAGUUCAGGAGGCCCAAAGCCCAAAUAUGCAAAUUAUUUUGGACGCCUGACUUUUAAAAUUUGUGGGAAUACGAUGCUCAGCUCUUCCUCUGGAUCUAUGCCCAAAGUUUUCAGGUCUCCAGCUAGAAAAUCAAGACGUUACGAGGCAGAAGGACUUGGCGCCAGUCCUGCUUCUCCUCCUCCACAUGAGCAGCUCACCAGUCAUGGGAGGUGCUGCCAUAUGCUCGACCUGCCUCCCCAAAUUCACCAUGCCUGAGUGACCAAAUGACAGGCUGAAGGCCCUUCCUUGAACCUGCACACAGAUGAAAAACCACACACCAAAGCUGAGCCAUUUCCUCAGAGCUGAGACUUGUGUGGAAAAGAGGCCCACUCCUACACUGGAACACUCACUGGACAGUGGUCGAAUAGAAGCUCUAUUAGGUCUGGGUGGGAGUUUUUGUUCAUGAAACCACAGUACCAAGUGCAAGGGCACUGUAAAAGCUCCCUCUGCCACAAGUCAAAGCUUUUAGUUUCAGCAACAGCCCAUGCCUCCUCCUCCCAUUAGCUCCAGAACUCCUAGUUUAGGAGCCAUGUGUCUGUCCUUGGGGGGUGAAGCACAUUCAAGAACAGAACUGCUGGGCAGUGUGUACAGCACGAUCAGCCAAAGGCUGCGUUCGAGUCCAGUGGACAUAAUGGCUCUUAUUUUGCCAUGUAAAUGGCUAAUUUCAUGCCAAACAUUUGUUCCAUUGGACAAUCACUAGUUCAUCUUCCCCAUUAGUGAAAUUUCUAAACUGGUGUUGCACCGAGAGAUGUAUCUGUUAUGCACACAAACACCCCAUAAAGGUUCUAACACGGUUUUAAAUAGCUGCAAGCAAAGGAAAAGAUGUGUGUGCAAGUGAGCUGAGACCAUUACACAACCGGGUCUCAGACCAUAAACUCUGCCCCAAUGUCUGUCUGAAUUGUUAAAGACUCUCCUAUCUUCGGUUCUACUGUUUUCCCAACACUACUGGCAAUUUCGAUUUUUCCUUCUGUAACAGGGGUUGCUUGCUGGAACCUUUACCUCGGGUGCACUUUGGGUUCAGAAAUAGCAAUCACCACACAGGAUGUGGGGUGGGGACAAUCACUGAUGAGACAGAUGGGAAGGCUGAGCACAGUCAGCCAGGAACCAAGGCACGACACUGAAGGGCAGGAGGAUGCUCCUGCAUCAGUGUCACUGGCAGGCUUUGCCUUUCCAAAGGACUCCAUGGCAUAAUCCUAAAGCCAACCCCACUGCACUCAACAAGGACUUCAAAAGCCAACUCUUAACCACCUCUGGAGCAGUGGCUCUGAGUGCUUGUCUGACAGGUAGAAGGAGAGUGUCUACUCCCACCAAAAGCAAGAAUUUUUGUGGGUCCACUCAGGUUGAAGUGGGUCAACCUCUUUUUGGAAGCAUUCUCCCCCACUGAUGAUGAGAACAAAACAGGUCAGGAAGACACACUGAUAUUGAAUACCUCUUGCACAGCAAGGUGGGUGGACAACCCAUGCUGACCCCAAAGAUGCAGCAGCAUUGAUUAGCCAGGGAAAACGUCACUUUUCACUCAUGAGCAGAAACAGACCCAUCUCCAAGACCCCUUCCAAGAGGUCAGAAACCCCCCCACAACACAUAGAAGAGAUAGGAGAAGAGAUAAAUGAGGGGUUACUUACUAUAGGAGUAGCUGCUAACUUCAGAUAUUGCUGGUGAAUGGGAAACCUUGAGCUGAUUUUUGACUUUUAACCCCACCUCCAUCUUCUUCAUUUUGGCAGCCACUUUGUUUUUACCUUCCUUGGUGGUUUUCAGUGACAGGCCCAGGUUCUUGGCCAGGCUCUUCUUCUCCUCCUUGCUUGGCAGAGCCUCGUGGGGUGGGAGGUACCUACUGCCACCUCCACUAGUUUUUGUCUUUCCUACAGAGCUGUCGGCAAACUUGAAGGGGGAUUUGAGCUUGUCUUGUUUGGUGAGUGACAGGGCCUUGUCAAGCUUGCUGGCCAGCUGCUCCUGAUCUGAUGGCACCUUCUUCUUUUUGAUCUUUAACUGCCAGGGUGAAAGGAAGAGACCAGGUGAAUACAGAGCAGAUAUCAUGGCAGACCUGAGGGAUUUUACCAGCCCUCGUAACAGCCUCAAACAGUCUAGUUAAUAAAGGUUCAAGAUGAUAGUCUUAGGUCCCAGUUACCAUAACCCACCAUGGUGCUAGGGAGGAAGAAGAGGAAGAUGUCAGCAAACAGUACAGCUUUCCUCUUACUGAGCACUACAAAACUGCAAGAUUAACUUAGAAAAACUGAAUGUUCUUCCAAAAGAAACAUGUUCAUAGCACAACACCUCUCAACACCUGUUUUUUAGGAUAUGUUUGGAUUGGUUUUACAAGCUUUCCUCUGAAUCAUAAGGAUUAAAAAUCUUCUUUACCCAAAACCCCAGCCAAAUAAAUAUGGAUUUCCACAUAAUCAACCAGCUCCAGAGGCUAGGAUGCCAGUAAGACCCAAAUAUUUCUCAGCCAGAGCAUCAACACCGCUGCAUUGCAGCCAGGGCUGUUACAACCUUUUCAAUAUUUUCUUGCUUCUUGAAAAAAGUAAAUGUACUUUACAUGUGCUACAGUUAGAUAACAGCAGCUCUAACUCAGUACUUCGCCUGUGUGCAUUUUGGAUUUCAUCAACAGCUUAAAGCUCCAGUAAAUAUCUCAUUGCCUCAACAGGAGCAGAAGAAAGCCCUGCAUUUAAAAUAGCAAGGCUGCACUCCCUUUCCUCCCUCCCUCCCCUCUCUUGACAGGCAAGGGGGUAAGACAAGCCCUGCUCUGGAUUCAGAGCUGGUGCAGCACUGCAACGCUCUGGCUGGCUCGAAGGCACUUCACUCUGCCGCCUAUCAAAGAGGUUCAACCUCUGACAGCCAGCGCCAGCCCCUCCACUGCACAGUCCUCUCAUGAGGAACAUCUAAACCCAUGUGAACUGAAAGCAGACACUGGAAGAUCAGGAGGAGUUAUCCUACAAGCCAACACUAGCAAAGCAGGAGCGAGAUCGGCUUGUGGCCCGUGGCUCCAUCUUCCCCACGAGGGCACUGACCUCAUUCGAGAAGCUGGGAGCCGCAUCAUGCUCUUCCCAGCUCUGGUUCCUCCCUUUCAUCUUGCCACUGCUGCUCUCCACAUCCUCGUCCUCCUCCGGGAGGGCCCCUUUGUGCCUCUUCUUCAUGCCCUCGCCAGUCUCAGAGUCUUCGGAGAGCAACAAGGACUUGCUCAGUCUGGAAGCCAAGCACAGGAUGGGUCAAGGUGGGGGGCUUUCCUCCCUGUGAACCCCACCAAGCUCAAAAGUGAGGUUAAAUGCCUCCUAGGACAACAGGGAUCCUCAGCGGGAGCCAAGUCCACUGUGAAAGGACAGCAGUUUUGACAAGGUUUUCCACCAAACAGGAGAGCCAGAGAGCCCUUCUUGCACACUCUUGGCCACCAGCACAGAUGAGAGUGCCUGAAAUCAGAGACCUGCAAAGUGGUCUCUGAAAGGAAAUACUUGGUGUCUUGGUAACAGCCACCAAAAAGUGCCUGAUUUGGUACAGAGCAGCAACAGGAAGGACAGACAGCUGAGCUGGCCCUGAAGGUCUUUUCCCACUUCUACUUCCAUGGCCUCUGUAGGUGCAGAGAGAGACUCCUAAGGCCCAGGGAGGUGCCCCACUGCCCAGGCACUUGCUUUGGUUGUUUGGGUACUGCUCGGGUAUGAGCAAGGAGGUGGCAAGGAACUGUCACGUGGGGUGACACGGAGGGACAAAGGCACUGCAGGGACUGGCUCACUCUGAGUGACUACCAGCCUGGACCCUCUGCAAGAGGCAUUUGCGAUCUGUGUCACUGGACUUGCUUUGGGAUUUGGGGGAAAAGAAGAGGGUAAAUAAAUAAGAAAAUAAAAUAAAAAAUAAAGUAAGUGAGACUGUAAGCACAUCUUUUCCUACUCCCCAGCCAUCUCCACUAACUAUCCAGGUGGAUGAUCAGUCAACACCUCAAGAUCUCUACCAAGCCUCCAUUAACAGCUCUCAUACGCCACCUCCUUCACACUAAACCUGCUGGUUGUACCACUACCACAAAGCCAUUGACAUGGGGCAGCCUCCUCAGCUUCCAGGCAUUUUCCCUCCCCUCCAUCCUCUCUGCUGACCUCUACAGACAGCUAAACCAACACCUCAGGCCCUGGACGCUCGCUGAGGGUGCAUCUCCAUCUCCCACAACAGCCUGCUCAAGCACUCCUGUGAUGUGGGGACAUGCACACACCACACCAUCACACAUGCCCACAUGCACAACUCCAGCCACCUCUGGAUGCCUCCAGCCUGUCCAGCCACCCAAACAAAAGAACAAAACAGAGAGCCACCGAGAGGACAGAUUUUCAGAAGCGCUGGUCAGUGGGAGCUGGGCACCUGAAUCUAAUUUGUAGUCUUGAAAGGACAUUUGCAAAAAUAUAGAGCAUAAAGGAAGGCAGCUUGGAGGUGCCUUCCCACUGAAGAGGCCUGGCCACCUAUGGAUGGUUAGAUGGCCAGCAGUGGUGGGAUCUGGGCAUCCAAACAAGGGCAGCUGGACUUGCAAAAGACAAAAAAGCAAAGGAGAGAAUCAUCCAGACUCUUGAGAGAGGUCAGGUGAAGCCAACUCCCACUGAUUCAGGGAACAGAGAGAAAGACAGAAGAAACACAGCACAAAGGUGCUACCAAGUAGAUAACCUGGAAUAGCCCUGCUCUUCCCGUUUUUGACAUCAACAUCCCUGCAAUUAGUUCUACAGCACCUGCUUGCACCAUCUGCUCUCCUGAGAACACACGAGGACACACUCCCUGACACCACGAGCUCACCUACGAGUCCCUGCCCAGCCAGCUGCUCCGUAUCACCUCAGCACUGCUCAACUGCCUGUCCUACUUGCACCCAACACCACAGACACGUGCUCUACCUGCGGGGAGGGAGGACGCUGGCACCGUAUUCCCACCGUAAGGACACGCUCACGUUCAAGGCACACGCUUCCACAACACCCCUGCAGCCAGCGACCGGCCCUGGCGAGCCCCUGCUGCAUCCGAGAUGCUCUCCCCAAAUAAGACCCUGGUGCAGCGACCCUGCCAUUUUCCCGUCUUCCCCAAAUUCCAGCCUUACUUUCCACUCUUGCUGUCACUCUUCCCUCUCUCCUUAAUGGGUGACAGAGCGCUUGAUCCAAGUUUCCUCUUCCUGGGCCUUCCAGGGCCUCUUCUCGCCAAGCUUCUACUUUUCUCGUCAUGCUUUUCCCUUUAAAAAAACCACACGCUUCACUGUUAACCAAGGCAACAAAAAAAAACCAAAAAAAAACCCAAAAAAAAAAGGCAAAAGAAAAAAAAAAGCAAAAGCAAACUUUGCAACCAAAAAGCAAAACGAACAGGGGAAAAAAAAUAAAGAAAAUAAAUCCAAAAAGAAGAAAAAGGGAAAAUAAUUAAAAGAAAGCAAGCAAGAACGGGAGCCAACCCAGAACCUUCGCCUGCCACCAAACUGCUAAACUGAGCUGCUGAAGCCAAGGUUGUCUCUAACACAGUCUCCCAGCUGCAUUCACCAGUUACCAGGUUGUCGUGUCACAUAGCCUAGGAGUGUGCUGUGAAAAGCUCUGGCGGGAUGUACCAGGAGGAGAGGAGAAGAGACAGGGAGGGAUGGAGGGCUGUUUUCUGUCCCGGACCAAAAGGCAGCGGAAGUGCCCAGCUGGAAAAAAACAAGACCAAGUGAGCAGCCUGUGACUUACUCGGAGUCCCUGCGGCGCUGCAGCUUCACCAGCUCCCGCUGCUUCUCCUUGUAGCGCCGCUGCAGCUCCGCCAGCCUCAUCCUGUAGUCCAGCUCCAUCGCGUCCAUGUUCUCGAUGGCCGAUUUGAUGGAGUACAUCUAGGGAGGGGAGGCAAGAGGGGGCGAGAGGGUCAGACACGCCCAGGUGGUGCCCACUGGGUGCCUUUGCAAUGGCCAAGGUGUGCAGGCUGGCAGAAAGCCCUUGGUGCUGACAGGGUAGCAGAGACCCCUUGCCCACAAGCACAGCCUCACAGCGGUACCAAGGAAACCCCCCAAGCAAAGAUGUUCUGUGGCUUAUGCACAGGAUGGCAUCAGCUUUGAGGGACUGCAACCCUGGGAAAGAAUCUGCAGGAUAAAAUACAGCCAUGGAGUCUCUUUUCCCUUGUUUAAAAAGAUAGAUCACAAUAUAUCCUAUCUUGCAACACUUACUUGCUGGGUACAAAAUAAUUUGUCGGUCUCUCUCAUGGGGAAGAGUCAGCAAGGAAAAAAUCAAGGAAAAACCCUCCUGACACUAUAUUUAUGCCCCCCGUUGCCAAAACAGUAACACAUGAGUUCCUUUGGCUUUGUAUUACAAACAUCACUUCUAGGGCUGCCCAGGGUCCUGCUGAACCUUGAUUCACGUACAGAGCAGGAAGCUAAAUCAGAGCACACCAACUCCUUGCAGUCAGGAACACGAGGGAAGAGCCAGCUCGCUCUGCUGAAUGCAGACAGGCAGCACGAGCCUCCCAAACUGGGGCUGCGACAGUGAGUUGUGGAAGUGGAUGCACUGGGGCUUUUCAGGCUCAGCCACGCUAAGAGCUACUUACUGGUUCAUCUUUCUUCUGCAUCCAGCUGUACUUUUUGUUGGGAUUCAGCUCUCGAGGCAGCCGGAUGGUUUUCAGACUUUCCAUAAAGGGGGUGGAAAGUACUUCCAUGAGCAUGUGGGUGCUGGCAGCCAGCAAACUCUCCAGUGUUGGCCGGACAGGAAAACUCUCUGGACCUGCUGGGAAGGACAGAAAAAAGAAGUUACAGACAUUCACAUUCCAAGACCGCUUCUCCAACAGGCAUGAGGAGAGGCUGAUGGUCCUUUCUGGACUAUGGCUGCUGAAGGAGCCUCCCAGCCACCCUUAGCCCCCACUCGAGACCUCCUGUUGUACCUAGCCAUGGUGCAAGUGGCAGUUCCCAUCAUGUCUCACCUCAGGAAGUUACUGGAAGGUGAGAUUCUCUUCAGGACCUGCCAAGCUCUUGGAAAGUGUCAUCUGGAGCUACUGGGACCUCUUGUGCCAAACCCCAACAGACUGUAGACUCACUGCCUGCCAGAAGGGUGUUACCCUGGCAGCUCCCGGCAACUGGGGCUCCGUUUCCGCUACACAUACCACAGACUGUCUAGACAUGGCGAGGGCCUUUGGAAGGGGAGAGCAGUACAAAAGCCACACGUAGCUCAGCCUACUGCAACAAAAACCCUGCUCCAACACCAUCCAAAGUACCAGCCACUCCUGCAACUCAGGGCAAUGCUCUCCUUGCUGCCAGGCUGCCAAGAGAUCCCACCUGUGCCCAAAUGGAGAGCACAGGGACCAUACACUGCAAGACCCACCCUGGCCCAAAGCUCACCAGACUCCACACUCACAACUUACUUUGCAUUUCUUGCUUCCGUUUCUCCAGCUCCAUCUCUGCAAUUUCACUCAGCAAAGUGAUCCCCUGCAGGAAGGAGUGCUCCAGGGUCUGGUCAGUUAACACCUCCACCUUCAUCUGGGAUGGAGUGACAGCGGUGGUAGUCAACAAGGAACAAGCCUGAGGCAUUUCUGUAGCAGCCACCAAAGCAUUCAUCCCAGCCAGCGGGUCACCUGGCUUGAUGUCCAGAUCUGGGAUUUGGCAAGAGAUUGCCUCUUCUGUAUAGGAAGGGAUCUCUGGCCCCUGCUCCCCCUCCUCAGGGGGCAGGCUGGGAAACUCCCUCCCUCGGGGCACAUCGGUGCUCUGCAGAUCCAUGGCUACAGAGGCCUCCUCCCGCUGGGUCGUCAAGUCCAUCUCCGGUGGCUCGUUCUCUGCAUGCACAAGCAAACCAUCAUAGUCCAUGUGCAUGGAACAGGUUUCUGCUCCACUCCCGGUCUCUGCCUCAGCCUCUGCUUCUGCAGGACAGGUCACAACCUGGUAAGGAGGUGAGCAGCUCUGGAGGUCUUCCUGGUCCUGCUCCAUAGCACCCAGGGUUUCCCCUUGAUGUAACAGGAGAUUGCAAUUUUCCACAUUCUGCACUGGGACGGCUGCGGAGGUGGUGAUGUUCAGAGUCCCCAUGUCCUGCUCACAGAUGCCUUCUUGGCUUUCUUCCAUCUGCACCUCUGAUUUCACCCUCUCUUCCAAGGAUUCCUCUUCUGCUGCUGCUUGGAUGGGCUCUAGGAUUUUGGACGGAGACAGGUGGAUGGGCUUGACCUCUGAGGAAAGCUCCAUGUGCUCAGACCCUUCAGCAGGCAGCGGGACGUCAGGAGCCAGGCCAUCCGCAUCAGAUGCUGGGGCAGGCUGGAUGAGGUAGGGAUAAUGUCUUCCAAAGGAGGGAGGCAGGGACUGGAAUGGAUAUCCAGGGGGGAUCUCUGCAAGAUAUCAGAAAGGACAGGCUGUGUAAUGGAUGGGUCUCCAAAGCACGUUCUCUCUUACUAAGGCAUAGAGAUGGUUCUCUUUGCAUUCAUCAUCUCUGGUCUCUUCCUGUUCUCAAGCAGUGGCUGCUUCCAGCACCUCUCCCCUGUUCAAGCUGCCAGAGGCAGCAGCACCCCAGAAAUCCCUUCUGCAACUUUUCAGCACUCUCCUGUAGCUGGAGAGAGAUCUGCCUCUUGCAUCCUCUCCCACUGGGACUGCAGCCCUGGAAGAACCAACCCAGGCUGGACCCAAGGGAAGAAAAGAGCCUACAGCCCCAGGUGCCCCUCAGACCCAGGCAUCAAUCCCAGUCCCUCACACCACCCCUGUUCCUUGCUUCUCCCCUGCCUUUUAGAGGAGCUAUGUGGUUUUCCCUAGGGGAAGGGACAGAAGCAGGAAAGACUGAGGAGAAAAAGGGAGGCAGGCACAAACACAACGGGAGUCUGCCAAAGCAGGGCUCUCUUACCUGGGAACAAGGCCUGAUAUGGACCAGCAGCCUCUUUUUCCAGCUCCAAGUCUUUCUUGUCCACGGUCUCAGGUGCCUCUUCCUUUGGAGGGAUGGCAGGGGCAGGGGGUGGAGAGGCGGGGGGCGGGCUGGAAGGAUGGGAGCUGGGGGUGGCGGGGUAGGAGUAGGCUGGCUGCGAAGGUGGCUCCUCCAUCUUUUGGAUCACCUCAGCUUUGAGCACAGACACGGGUGAGGCCCUGGGAGAGAGGGGAGGUGGACUCACAGCCUUGCUGUAGGACGUGGAGGCGCUGGGAGACAGCACAGGUGGUUUUCGGUGCACCAGUCCCGGGGCUGAGGAGGAAAGGCCUGAUUUGGCACUGUCCAGGCUCCGCUUUGUCACCUUCUCUUCCAUAUCCACACGCUGCUCGUUGGCCUUCAAUCUCUCCUGUGACAAGAACAGAGCAAAUGUCAGCACAACACCUCCUCCUGUUCCUGGAAAGCAGCACUGACCUACCACCACGUAAGACCAAAACGUGGUCUGAUCAAAUAGGCACUGAAAUAAACACGUUACCUGAUGCAAAACCAUUUUAAAACCAAUUUGAUGGAGGGUGACACUGAUCUGCAAUAGCUUCUUUACAAAUUCCCAGUUCCAGGACUCCUGAGAAGGGUGUUUCAGCUUUCACUUGCAUCCAAAGCAAAUCAUUUCUAUUUCUAAGUCUUCAGCCUUGCAAGCCCAUUUGUAAAGCCAAGGCUGAAAACCAGAGGAGCACUAUAAAAAUGAACUGGGUGUAAAAUACCAAAGCUCAUGACUUCCAAAACCAUUCUGUGAAUGGGAGCUGUCUCCAGGAGCCAGUGUGAUUGCUACAAGUCCUGCAGUUGCUUCUCUGAGCUGCUCACAAGGUUUGUUUGGAGGUGACCAGGGAUGAAACCACUCAACUAUACAGAGACAUCCCUAGGGAAGGAAUCCAUGUCACACUGCUGCUGGGCAGCUCUCCUGACAGCACUGCUCAAUGGCUCUACACCAAACCCAUCCAAACUCCACUCUAACUGCAGGAUGCACCAAGUGCUUCAUAUCCCAGGGACCAGGGAAGGAUCACUCCAUGCAUCCAGACCCUUGAGACACACUUCCCACACAGACACAGCUGCUUCUUCUCCCCAGACACUCCAUCUUCAGGCUUGUUUCACACCCAAGCAAGAAGCUCUCGAAAACAUACCACGAGCUGGGCACUCCUCUGCAGCUCCAUGGCGUGGGCCGCUUGCUGCUGCAGGAUGUACAGCUCGUGCUGCCGCAGCAGCUGCUGAUGAGAGAGGAGCUGGAGCUGGUGAGCGUGCUGGAGGGAGCUCCUGGUCGGGGGGUACAUGGCAGGCCACAGUGGGGGUGCCCGGUCCAUCAGCUCUGCUGUGGAAUGAGCAGAGUUGGAGUCAGGGAGGCAGCAGUGUAAAGAUACCUAGAGGAUUCAGGAUCACUCAGGGCAAGUAUCUCUAUCCCAGGGUGUGGGGGAUGCCAAACACUGGGCUAUGAGGAAAUGCAGAGGGGAGAGAGUGCUGUCUUUCCCUUGCCAGCCCCACUCCCAUCAUCCCUGGGUCCUGGAGUCAUCAGACUUGCUUUGCUCUCCAGGCACUCUUGUUUUGACUGUCCAUGGUUGAGCCCAUGAAUAGAUUCUCCUAACCAAGAACUUUACCUCUACAGGGUCCUGCAGGGCAUGAAGAGCCACUGCCAAAGAUCACACAUUUCCAUCUCCAAAACACACCUAAUCAGAGGCCAUCUCAUACCCACCCUACAGCUGUGGUUGCUGGUCCCCAUGGUCACAUGUGCUCCUCUCUAGCCCUCUCCAAAGCCCAUUUUCCCCACAGCUGUCAAAGAAUGGUCCCCAGGGACACGUUCACAUCCUUACCAAAGUGUGGCAAGUGCUCGCUGGGGAUCACAACAAGCUGCCCCGACUGUGGGUCUCUGGCAAACUGGUAGGCGGAAGGGAGAGCUCCCCCCAUGGCAGGGGGGAAGCCUGGAGUCAUGCCCUGGUGCAGGGAAGGGUGACCAAGUCCUGGAAGAAGAAACACCCAAGUCACAACUCAGAGGAUGCAGGCAGCUUCUAUCCAGUCAAGAAGUCAUCUACCAUUUGACUGCUCCAAAAUACCUCCUUGCCUGCGAACAGCGAGCAGCCUCGCUGGGCACACAGCAACGCCUCUCCCUGGAUUUCAUCCGUGUGAACACCCCAUGCACACCGCUCCCUCCCAGGGCACUCACCAUAGGGAUGGCCAGCCAGCCACAUGGAGGGGCUCCCUGUCCUGGGAAGCCAGGGGUGGGCUGCCAAGUGUGAAGCCGGGUCCGCAGACCAGCGCCCGGAGCCCGCCAGGGCUGGGCCUCCCGUCACCAUGAGGUUGGAGUUCAAACCGUUCGUGGCGCAGCUGGAGGGGUGGAUCCGGGCAAAAUCUGCCAGCUCCUUGCUUUCUCUGUUACGUGGGAGGCAAGAGAGAGAGAGAAACCGUCUGAGUGAUGGAGGAGCUCAAGGGUACAGACCCGUCUGCAGAACCAGCGUUUGCAAACCAGGGUCAGUCACUUGAUGAGAGCUGUGAUGGAGGUGGUUAACAUCACGUCCAGAAUAAGACAUCUCCCCAUUCCUUUGGAGCAGGCAUGGAUUUGCAGAAGUCUGCUAGGAUUCAGGAUCUGCCUAUAGUCCCAUUUACCCCCCUCAACAUUUCUUUCUGCACCAGCAAGGCUGGUGCCAGCACCUGCACCAGAUGGAAGCAACCCCAUCCCCUCUCUGGACAGGCUGUCCUCGAGCACAGCUCGUGGCUCUAUGGCAAGAGACCCCAUCUCCCACCAACCCUCACCUGAGCAGCUUCUCCUGAUCCCGUUCCAAGCGCCCUGCCAGGAGGUGGCUGUCCCGGUGGCGGCUCCUCUCAUCCCCACAGUCAUCUUCAGAGCGUCCAUGCCCUAAGAGACAACCCAGCACCAUCAGACAGGAAAAACAGUCUGGGGAAAGCUGCCCCCUUUGCUCUGGGCAUGGAGAGGCAGUACAUGGGAGCCAGCACACCCAAACAUCAUUCUCUCUCUCCUCAAGGUUGUUCCAUGUUCAAAUCUUGAAGGACCAAACAAGGCUCUCUGUGUGAUCAAGAUAUUUUCACUGAGGCAGCUCCUGGCAGCACACAGGUUUAUGCAGUCCGAGGUUAUGUCUUCAAGAUAUCAUGGGACCCAUUCACCAGGCCAGGCUGGUCUCCCAGGACAGGACAGCCACCAGCCUUAGAGCAACACAACCAAGGGGACCACUGCUGCUGAAGGAUAGUGGCAGAUCUCCCAUCUCAGAAAGAGCCCAGACGCAGAUAAAUCCGUACAUCAAACCACCCAGUCCUGCUUAGCACAUCUCAUGGAGGGGAAAGGUUUUAUCUCAGCCCCUUCUGAAGCACCUUCUGCUCUUGUAAACCAGUCUGGGAGCACCGGGUAUGCUCCGAAUCCCUGUCCUACUGCAACAGGCAGAAUCAACAAUACAGACCCUCACAAAACCAGCGCGUUCCGCUCUGCAAUUCAACCCGUUAGCAGAAAUCUGCAACUCCCCUGAGACAUGCAACAAGAAAGGGUCUGGCAAGGCAGGGACACAUAUGGCAGAUGAGGGCAGGAAUCCAAAAAGGGGGGGUUGGAUGUUUGGCUGGAGUAGCCGCUUGUCCAGAAUCAGAACAGCUCUUGCAGAUACAGCCUGGCACGGUAGCAGCUGCGUCUGUGAGGGGUUAGGAGGCACCUGCACACGAGUGAGCAGCAGUGCCAAGCUUGGCUCUGCCAGAACCAGGUACUGGGGCCAUCCUUCCCUUCUUUAUCCAAGGUCUUCACCCCACCACCUGAUUUUAAGCUUACUUUUCCCCAGUUUUUUUCCCUAGCUUCUUUCUUGCAUACUCAUUUUUUCCACAAUUCCCUGCUGCCCCUCUCCAUAUUAUGUUUCAGUGACAUGAUCCAUUCCUAAAUCCCAGCCCUGCUUGCAGCGAGCACUCGGAUAGUCUAACAGGGCCAGGAGGAAGGUGUUUGCUUCCCCCCCAACUCCUGGUGCUCCCUGCCAGCACAUCCCCUGCCCGGGCCAUGCUCUGCACCCCACAGGGCUCAGCAGAGCAGCACAGCCUCGCAGGACUGCACCCCAGCAGCCCCUUCCAGGGUCCUCGUUCUCCUGUCUGGAUAUGGUUUGGCACAUGGGAAAGCAUCUCAGAACAUCAAGUCUAUUCUGCUGACAGGCAGCCUUUUCAAGGAGAGCUCCACUGUGUAUUUCCACAAACCUGGACAGCCCAUGGGUUUUUUGCUGUCAAGUCUCCAAUUCCCUCAGCUUUUACUGUCAGAAGGAAUCCAGGAACAAGACAACAUCUCUCCCAACUCCUUUUCCCAAGGCUCCCUCCAUGGGCUCCAGGCAGAAAACAAAGAUGCUUUAAAACCUGGCACACAGCUCUCCCUCCCGAAGGACUUUCCAGGGUCACCACAUCUCCCUCACAGUCUGCCAGGACACCACGUGCAGUGGCUGUCCCCAGCCAGCCCCUCCUCAACUCACUGAACGAUGCUCCACGCAGCCUCCAUUGCUCACUCUUACUACCCAACCUCCAAGUCACGAGGGCUCAUAAAUCCCUCCAGAGCCCAAACAUCGUCCGCUGCCUCUCCACCAGCAUCCACACUCGCUCAAAAAAUCUCCUUCUACACCCUAGCCCAGGCUCUUCCCCCUUAGAGCCCCUAUUUCUUUUCCCUGAUCAAUGCCCAGCUGUCUCUUUGGUGUCAGCAAUACAGAGCAAGCCCUUGGAGAGCUCACAGCCUCUUUCCUUGCCACAAUGUGAAUUGACCCCCGCCCCCAGACUUUCAAUAGAAACACAUCAUUUUGUUAUUUUACCAUCGCUCCUCCCUCUCCCACCUACAUUCCUCGUGCUCCGUUAUUUCUAGACGGGUUUAUCAUUUUUUUUUCAUCUCCCAUCCAAACACACACACACACACACACACACACACACACACACACACACACACUCUUAUUCCUUUAAUUCCCGCCCAGCCUCCAUCCUGCCAACAGGACAGUCCCUUUUCUGGACAGACCGAUGAUUGUCCGGACAGUGAAUGAUCAUUCUGUCUAUAUAUAUGAACAUGACGCACGGACUGCAUAGAGAAAUUCAAUCAGUUAUGCAUGGAGGAAAGGCUUAGGUCCGUUCCCUUGACAACCAAUGCCCAGUACUAAAUACUUGCAUUUUACUUGCCAAAUACUACAGAUUAGCCAACUAAAGCCUGCUUUCUCCUUCUUAAAAGGUCUAAACAUUCAAGCACCGUCCACUCAGCGCAAGCAAGCUAAUGUUAUUAGACGAAUAUCUCCUGGCACACAAAGGGGGGGCAGCAUUUGGGGGGCGAGAGGAGGAGAAAAGCAGUCUUGUUUUCUGUAUGAAAGCCAACUGCAUCACUUAGCAACGAGCCCAGAGGCCUGCCAGAAUUCAACCCUUGUUUGCAGCCUUUUAGUUCAGCUCAGUAAAUUACAUUUAACGCAAGCUGGGAGCGUCUGGGACGAUUGAACGGCUGAACAAACAGCUCCCUGUGCUGCCCACGAGGUCCUCGGUCGGCUCCCGCCUGGCCGUGGGGAGGGCAUCGGGAGGCGAUGGGAAUGGGGAGAGGGGCUGUUGGCUGAGAGAAACUGCUUCUCACCACUGAGGUUCAAGAGAGGGGGGCAAAUGCAUAGAAAUGGGGAAGGCAGGGGCUGAAAAUGGAAAGGCAACCAUCGCUCGCCUGCCGCUCGCUUUGGCAUCGCUCCUUGGCACACCAGAGCCCCGUGCCAGGCAGCCCCCAGGCGUUAUCUCGCUACACAAGCCAAGACAAGCACCAAAAUCUUUCUGGCGCCAUCCCCCUCCUGCCGGGACCAUGGUUUAAAUCAAAACCGUGAGAUUAAAACACCAGCACAAAGGUGGUUUGAGGGGUUUUUCCGUCACUCCCUUUGCUAAUGAAUCAAACACAUGGAGAGGUGGACAGUGAGGACGGAAGCCGGAACUCCUCUCGCACAGGGAGUCUUGCUUCCCACUGUGGUUUACAACGUACCCUUGGCUGUGAAGGGAGGCAAAGGGAGCUGAGUAUGCCAAACUCAGCCCAUGGCACACAGUCUGCACUGGGUGCUCUUCCCGGGGAAGAUCCCACAGGGAAGUCCUAAGACACAUGUAGGGAACCUACCUUUGAUGCUGCUGAGAGACAGCGAGCGAUCUCGGUCUGCCAAGCUGGGCCCCAGUUUGCUGCUGCUGCUGCUGCUGUUGUCCUUCUGCCGGGCCACAGCCACAGCGAUGCCAACAGGCAAGUGCCUCACCUCCACCUCGCCCUGGGAGCCGAUGCUCUCACGGCCGAAGGAUUUGGCACUCUCAGGUCUCUCAGGGUCCCGUUUUAGCUGCUUCGCUGGUUGCUGCAGCAGCAGCUGCUGCACCUUGGAGGCUCCCAGCUGCGCAGAGUCCAACUUCACGUUGCCCAAACCACCGAAGGGGCUCUUCUUGCCGCAGCUCUGCCGGGACGCGGUCUCCUUGGCAAAGCUGCCACUGUACUUGAUGAGGCUCUGCAUGGCCGACCCUUCGCCGUGCGAGGUGGGGUGCAGGACGUCGGCGGCGCCCCGUGAGCCCACCACCGAGGUCCGUGGCAAGCCACUGGGGUCAAGGUAGACCUUCUUGGCUUCCUCCUCCACCCGGGUGACGUGGUUGUGCUGAGCAGCCAACACCGCCAUCUGCGUGGUGGCAAAGUUGCCCAUCUCAAAGGGCUUCCACUUCUGCUCCGGUGGUUUCAGCUGACCGUGGUCCAGGUGCUGCCGGGAGGAGUCCAAAGUGCCAUAGACCUUUGCUGCUUCUUUGGAGCUGGAUCGCUGGAAGCGUUCCCGCUCGCAAGGGCGAUGCUCUGCCUCCGGACUCGGCUUCAGCAAGUCCUUGGAGGCCAGGAACUCCCUGCUCUCCGGAGAGCCCAGCCCCGGCCGGUUGAGGAAGGGCUCUGAAGUGACCUGUCUCUUCAGUGCCAUGGAGUUCGUCCUGAUCACCGAGCCCUUCUCUCUCAGAACCUCCAUCCUUUUGGCAUCGCUGUGACAAGAAAAGUCCUGGGACAAGAGCGUGCGGGAGGCAUCCGCAAGGCACCGCUCCGUGGGUGACUGCAGCACCCCCACCUUGCCGAGGUCUUUGUCCUUCACCUUGUUGUCUCGGGCCUGCGAGGCGAUUUGGAUGGGCCCGCUCCUCUCGUCGUAGGCUUCGACCGAAGGCACGAAGGUGGGGGCGAUGACUUUGUGCUCCCUCCCCAGCUCCUUGGCCGGCGGGAAGAUGGUGUACAUGCUGGAAUGGACGGGCUGCGGAGGGAAUGUUGUGGCCGGCGUCAUCUUCCCCGUCUGCGAGGGGUGCGGGGAUGGGCAGCUACAGGAGACGUGCAAAGCGCCCACGGAGGGCAGGAGGGGCUCCCCUCGCUUCAGCCGCUCAGCGUGGGCGUGCGCAGAAGGCCUCAUGUUCUCGUCGUGCCGAGUGGGAUCCUUGGCACAGCGGUCCUGCUCGGCACCCAGGACCUUCAGAACGGGGUCCCCGCCGCCGUUGCAGUUGCUGAGGGAAGAGCUCUGCAGUGGGUUCUUGGACUUGGGUUCCCCACUGCCUGUGCCCCGAUUUGGCAUGUGCUCAGCCAGGAACGGCGAGAGACGCUCGCCGACCUUCACCGCCUUCUCCACCACACUCACUUUCCGGUCGCUGUCGGGCUUGGUGUCCUGUGUGAGGUCAACCACACUGCGGGGCCGGGGCUCCUCCUUCGGCUUGCUCUCCUUCUUGGCAAAGGGCAGGGACAGAUCGCUCCGGCAUGCCCGCUCCUUCCCACCAGGGUCUUUCAGGCCUUCCUUCGAGCUCUUGUGCAGCUGCCCAAGGUCCUUUUCCCGGAGCAAAGUGUUCGACGUGUGGCUGCCCACGGUCCUUGAGAGGGGAGGCUGAGGGUGCAAAGCAGACUGGCCUGCGUGGCCGGACAGGUAGAACCCAUCUGCAGAGCAAAAACAAUCAAAAUUGUUUUUUGAGACAGGCAAGAGGUAGCAAAUGGGGAAGUAACAGGUUUCAAGGAUGCCUCAGACAGGAAGGCCCAGGGCAGAGGAGACCAAGCAGGUUUCUCCAUGUGGGAUGCAGGACAGUCCUGUCCUGAUGCACACUGGGACUUCAAGGUGGGAUCUGGCCAGCUUCCCUAUAGCACAGCUACAUCCAAAACCCUGGUACUGCUAACACGAGGGAAUGUCCCUGGAUGAUCAGUCCAGGGGGUUCCUUCUCUUUGCCCCCAACACCCCAGCACCCAGCAGCUCCAGCAGCCAAACAAGCCCAAAGGACAGGGUGAGCACCUAGGAGUGACCAAGAGGGCCAGAAAGGGCACACGGGGUCCCAGACUCACCUUUCUGUGAUUCAAAGAGGCUGUGCUGUCCCAGCUGGGCCAGGAGCGGACUGCCGGCACUGGGAGGUUCGAGGUGGCUCAGGGGAAUGUACGAUGGGUAGAGACCGUUAGGCAGAUGGGAAAAGCCUGCAGAAAAUGGGAAACAGAAGAGGCAAACAUGUUUCAUCCCAAGCGGCACGCUGCCUUGGAACGAGCCCCGCAGGAGCACAGACUGUUGUGGCUGUCGGUCCCUCGCGCGCCAGGAGCGCCGGCGGAGGGGACGCACACGGCAACGACACACACCACACACAGCCCAUCGCGAGGAGCACUGCUCAGAGACCCCCCUUUGGGUACUGAUCCCCCACUGCUGGUCCCCAGAUCGCCCCAGGCACCUCUGCAGGGCUCCAAUUUUGCAGCAAACGGAGCAUGCUGCUACCCGAGCAGAGCCUUAACCUGGAACUGAACAACCAAACCACCUAGCUGAUAAGGUGUUUUAUCACAAGCACAGCAACCUGUGGGUGAGGACGCUCCCCAACGUACUUCCAGAGCAGUGAUAAGACCCUCUUGCCAGCACAGCUUUGCCAGCACAGCCCAUCCCAGCUGCAGGUGGCCAUGACUGGGUAUGGGCUUUGGGAAAACAUGAGAGCAUCCUUCAGAGCAGCUCACACAAAGCACUGUUUCUUGCAUCCAAACCCAGUAUCUUAUACCAGAGGAAGGCAAAAAAGAGCACAAAACGUGACACCCAUCCACGAGCUGAUAUGAAAGCAGCAUGUCCCCAAGGCCCUGCUGCCAGCAGUCUGGAUGAUGUCCUGGAUACUGGGCCCCCCAGCAACAUCCUUAUGCAAAUCACCAUCAUCAGCGCUUCCUCAGUGAAUACAAUCACCAUAAUAGUGGUAAUAACACAUGCUCUUGGCUACAGGCAGCAAUUCCUCUCCAACACUGCCACCAAACGACACCCGUGCAACACUACAAACUCUAACCCCUGCCAGAACCAGCAUCCCAGUCAGUGCCAUCAUUUAAAAAACUGAGUAAAAGCCAUCAAGAGAGUCUGAAGGAGCCCUUUGCAACCCUCCUCCCUUCCCCUCAGCCCUCAUUAGCAACCAACUUCCCCAAAAUUACAUGAUCCCACUGAAAGCAACCAGGCAACAACUUUUGUCAAGAGUCCAGCAUACAACCAGAUCAAAACAACAUCACACCAAAACCCAAGGGGAGACAGAGAAGUUCAGUCCCCGAAGCUGCACGUGGAGCACCAUCUGCGACAGCUAGUCAAUAUUUCACAUUAUUUAGACAGCCAGGAUCUCUUUCGCGUACAUAUUUGCAUCCCAGCAUAUGUGCUUCACCGACGCGGUGCUCCGCACAGCUCCUGGCCCGGAUCCAUCGCCCAACAGAUCCCAGCAGCACCACCCGCACAUGCCAACCCUCCAGCGGCAGGACCAGGGGAGCUGUUGUGCCCACGAAGUUCAACUCCGAGCCCAUCCCCAGCAGGUAAAUCUUGCUAUUUAAUCCUGCGCACGGUGCUGUAACAGAGUGCACACGCACGUCCGCAUCACUGCUUGGUAACCCCAAAACCUGCACAGUGAAGCAGUUCCAAACACCUUUUCUUACUCCCGGAGCUGGAGAGAGCUGGGUAGAACCCAGAAGCGUUCAGCCUGGCUUAGCUGUGAGCAGUAUCGCUCCACAGCGUGUUUGCCUCGGCCGUGCCACCGUCACCGCACCGCUCCGGCACGGCUGGGCUGGCAGCGAGCCAGCAUCUGGAGCAGGAGUGACACAUUUCCCAGGGAACACGAGUCCCAUCUGGCAGAGCACAUGGUUGCAGCAUGGCAAACCCCAUGGAGCACCCCAUGCCACACGAGCCCUGCGGCCCCAGCCGCAGACAUCCCCACGUGAGAUCCUUCUCCCAGCCAGACUUCAGUCCCAGCUGCAGCUGCUCCAACAGGCGGGAACACCAGCAUGGAGAUCACAACGAGACACAUCCCAUGCUGCAGAUACCACUGAGCACAGAUGCCCAUGGCAUGUCCCCACUUGCACAUCGUGCAAGAACAUGGAGCCACCUGCAGAGCUCCAGGGAGGGGACACAAUCCAGCCCUGCCAUCCAGCACCGGGACACCUGCAUGUAGCUUAAGCUACUGGUACCCAAAGAGGCAUUUCGGUACCAGUUACAUCCCUGCUCCUACUGGGGCAACCUCCUGCUUAUGCCAUCUUAUUCUACCCAUUAAUAACACAGGGUCAGUCCCAGCCCCAAAUGUUCUGGGGUUUCCGCCACAAUCAGCAUUAUCACAUCCACUACAGUGACCCAGCCUCAGCUUGGGGCUGCAGGAGCACGAGGAGGAAGGGAAGUGUCCAAGAUGGGGACAGGUUCAGAUGGACAGGGUGGAGACCCUGCAGGGCAGCGUCACCGUGACAGCUGGGGAAACAGCUGCAGAACUGAGUUGAUGCCACCAGCCCAGCCCCAAAACCACCUCCCAUCAGGCAGCCCUUCCCAGGGACUCCCACAAGUCCAUGGCAGCAGCACUGCUUCUUGGAGAGGCAUAAGCCCAGCACAGGAGCUCAAAGCACAUCCCAAAGCUUUGCAGGUGGAGAAAUUGAGGCACAGGCAGGUGCAAUGACUUGCCUGCAUCACCAAGCUGGCCAGCAGCAAAACCAGAACACCACCUGAACCUCAGCCUCAGGUCUACCAGUGAUGCUGUUUUCCCUUGCUAAGUGCCCAGAGAAGCUGCCCAGGCUGUAUUUACCUGGCUUGUUCCCUGCCAGGAACCAGAGCUGGAGCAGGGAUCCGAGCUACAGUCUUCCUGGGGAUGAACCCAAUGCAAAUCCAACCCCGGGGCACUGCCAGAGCAUCCCUUCCUCCUUACAGCCCUCCAGUCCGAAACCUGCUGCCCUGCUCCCCUGAGCAGGACCUGGAGGAGAAGCUGCUCCUCCAUGCGCUGAGGAGCUGCACUCGCAGGAAGCGGCCGCAGGCAAGUCACUCCCUCCUUGGAUUUCCGUGCCAGAAAGCGAUGCCAAGGGGAGAAACUCUACCGCAGUGAGCAACUCACAGCUCACCCCAACCAUGGGCUUCUGCCAGGAGAAAGGGAGGGGAAAAGGGGAAACCACAACCAUCUCCAUCCGCCCGGGGCCAGAGUGUUUGCUGAACCAGCACAAGAUCUGUUUUGCCCAGGGACACGCCGACAGGUCUCGGCAGGCUGAGCCACGCUCCUCCAGCCGACUGCUUGCCCAGAGGCGGGCUGGCACCGCAGUGCAAGGCAGGGAGGUGCGAGCUGGCAGCACUGCCAGCCCCAGACUGGUUUUGCCCUCCUUUCCUGCCAAGUUACACCACGCCAAACACGCGCGUGUGCCCAUCAGCACGGCCUCUGACCGCCUGGGGAAGGUACCAUCAACACUCAUGCCAGCAUGGGCACACAAGACCCAAAGCAGCCCAGCUCUGAGGGUAAAAGGGUUUAGGGCACAGAGAUCGUUCCUUUAAGCCACCUUAAUCCUGCAGCCAGGUGACUGUCAGCAGACAAAAUGCAACCCCUGUGAUGCUGCAGCAGGUACAGUGGAUUGGCACACCUGUCCUCCUCCUUCCCAGCUCCAAGAUGAUAAAACAUACCUGUUUUGCACAACCGAGACAUAAAUCACGAAGGGCUGUUAUUAAAGGAACUUGGCGGGUGCAGAUGUGUCAGCCCAGUUGAAAACAUCUUCUUCAUCUUUGCCCAGCUCUCCAAAACGGCACGAGUUUGGGGGGAAGAGGUACAGCCGGGUGACUCACCACCAGGAGGGGAUGUGACCGAUGAGAUGAGAUACCAGCGACCGCACAAACCACACACCAAACGUCUGGAGGCCGGAGGUCGUGCUGGGGGAAGUGGGAGGGAAACAGGCCCCACGUGCUCAGCCCGCUUGGGGUUUGCCAAAGUUCCCCGUGAGGAGGGAGCCAACAGAAAGCAUCCCCUGGCAGAGGUUCUAAACCUGUGGACUCUCUCCAACUUGGUCACCCCAGACCCCAGGCCUGAAAUUCAGUCCCAGCUGGACAAGUCAGCCAAGUCUGUGUUUUGAAAGAGACAGGCAGGAGGGGGACAUGCUGGAGGUGACAUGCUGGAGCUGAACACACCUCCCCUGCAUACACAGCUGCAGCCAGUGAGCCAGGCUACAUGUCUGAUGUGACAUGGGUGUGUGCCAGCGCUGGGAAAACUGCUCCAUCUCACCACGCAUGCAGGUGACCAGCUGGCACCUUCAUGGCAUCCCCAUGCUGCCCUCCACACUGGCUGCCAACCUGGUGUAGAGGUACAGCUCACUUGGACACCCAUGAAGGGUCAAGGACAGUAAGUGGGAGCAACUCAGUGACACCACUCAAUGGGGAAUUCACACUCUUGGUCGGGCUCCUUGUUUUCCAAACCAGCCAGCAGCACCAACACACCAGGGAGAAGCAGCACCCACAAAGCCUCUGCUCAUGCUCUGGGACGGAUUUCCAGUCUCUGCUGUUACAGAAUCAUAGAAGCAUUUAAGUUGGAAAAGACCUUUAAUCAGGUCCAACACAGCCCUGCUGGCCUGCAGAGGCAAGCAGGUGGCUAUGUGUGAUUCUGGCUGCAAAGCACACCCUGAAGCUGAGCCUGGCCAUGAGCCAUCCUUGCCUGAGAAGCCACAGCCCUGUCACCCGGAAGACCAGCGGCCUCCAGCACCCCGGGAGAAGUGAAGUAACUCUCCCCCAUUGCCCCAUCUGCCCGUUACACGUUUCUGCCACUUAUGAAAUAUUUCCAACCGCAGGCAUCUCACUCCAUCCUCCCCAGGCCAUGAUGGAUGGACACACUGCCAGGAAUCAGGCUGGUACCACACAGUGCUCUGCAUCGGGCUGUGGCCGCAGAGGGGCCUGAGUUGAAAAGCCUGGCCCCUUGGACUCUUCAAUCCAAGUCCAGCAGAGCUGGGAAACAGCAGUGAGGCUUUAGGUUUAUUUCCAUGGGGUGUUUUCCACUCUGGGCACUCAAGGGACAUUUGCAGCCCCGCUGCAGUCAGGGUCUCAGUUGGCUGCUGGGCUCAGCAGGAGCUGAGCGGGAGCUGCAGCCGCCCUUGGCCAGGAGCACAGUCACCUCUUCCCCAGUCCGGCUCGCAGUGCCUCACAGGCAGCCAACUGGGACAACAGUCCAUGCCACAAACAGCUGGAUAAACGUUUAUGUCCUCAUGAGUCCCGCCAGGGAGGGAGGGGAAGGGGGAGAAGUCCAAGCACAGUGAGUAUCCCUCCCACCAGCAGCAGGACGGACACCAUACCAGCACCAGCUGCCAAUGCUCACUGUCAUCAGUGAGCCCGAUCCUUUCCCUGCAGAAACAGCGGUUUCCCAGGGAAGACUCUCUCAGGGCUCCCCCUCCAGCACACACUUCCCCAUCUCUGCCCCACACAGGGGGCAGCUAUUCCUCAUGCACACAUUUAUGGCUGCAAACAGCUGCAAGCCCGGAGUGCUGACAGUGUAAAUCUUUGCCGCCUCCUCCCUUGCCUGCCAGGGCAGCUCUAGUGACACCCGAGGCACCGGAGCCGCCUUGACUCUGUGCCACACACGAGACACCAGCGAUACAAGCCCCUGAACAAGCCAGGCUGAAACCAAAGCCCCCGGAUCAGAUGUGCCUGGACUGUAGCAGUGACCAGUCCCCAACCCCGUCCCUGCAGCCCCAAGCUGCUGCCACAACCCACCACUCCCCGCCCCAAAACCCGACCCAGCCAUAUUAACACCCCAUGCCAUGGGACUGGCAGUUGCUUCAAAGCCUUAAUUUAUGGCCUCAAUUCUCUACAUCCCCUGAAAGCCUUCGAUCCCAUCCCCGGGAUCCAGAACAGCCAGGGCAAUUUAACUCCCCAUUUAAUCUUCUAAGGGCCCUGGUGAGCUCGGAGACAGCAUCCUCCGGCAGGGGGUCCACACUCCCGGCCUUUGCCGGCUCGAACACCACCGCGCUGCUUUUCCCUUCAGCCGCAAAAAUCACUACCUUAAAAGCCAAGGCGAGUACUCCCUCCAGCUCAGAGCGGCUCUCUAUUGUUUCUUUUAAUUUUAUUUUAUUCCACGUGGGAAUCUUGUGUCCAGGCUGCUUUAUUUUUAAGUGGCUCUUGCUCAAUAUUUACUAUGGCUCGCAGCUGCGUCAGCACAGGAACACCGCGCGCUCCCGCCGGGUUUCCGACUGGCCCUCCCGCAGCCACUGCCCCGUGCCGAUGCCGUGCCAUGAUUUUCCUGCCGUGUUACUCUUGCAGUGAAUCACCAGCCUCUCCUCUGCAGUCAGGGCACACCGAUGGGCAGGGUGUGACCACAGGGCAAGGGGGGGGGAGGCGGUUCCGUGCUCCAUGGAAAUAAAUAUCAUCAGGCUGAGUGAGCCCUGCUGCUCACCUCCUCCUCACCCGGGAGCUGGAACAGCCCCAACAGCCUGGAGAUGGUGGAGGAGGAGAAAAGGGAAGAAGUGGCUGGAAGGGCUCAAGGGACUGGUGCUCACGCCUCCACUCUGCCCCCGGCGUCCUGCAGACUCAGUUUCCACCGCGCCACAAGUCAAAGGCAAUCCAAGGUAUAUACAAGCACAUACUGGAGACAGGUAUAUACCAGCCUAUAUUGGAGAAAGACACCCAUAAGAUCUCCCACCAGCUCCCAUUGACACCAUCUCCAUGAGGACAGUGAGAAGCCACCCAGGUGGGGACAUGAAUCUCCUCCAGCAGAAGUGGCUUUUCCUCCCACUGGAGGGGCCAGGAUGGAAACCAUCCCACUGGGACUCUUGACAUGAUGCACACCCAGGCCACACAGCCUGAAACAUGGAAUCUGGGAAGCACCGAUCCAGUCCCACGUUAAUCCUGAUGCUCAAACCAGUGCCAAUGCUCCUGGGUCACUGCCUGCUACUACAGCAGAAGCUUCUCCCAUAUGCCCCCAGCCUGAAAUCCACCACCACAUCGGAUGUCUCACCUUUUCCACUGGCAUAAUUAAACCUGACACCCAAACAGGGGUCCACUGAAACCUCCAAGCUCUCACUGCACAACCACACAGCUCUCCUCAAACAGCAAGGAGCAACUCAGUGGGUUCUUCAGCUCCACAUUUACUAAAAUGGAAUGUAUGGAAAUUGAAAAAAUAAUAAUUUAAACUCUCAAACUGAUUAGCAGAAUGCCCAGGAAUGCAGAACCUGGCUGCUAGACUGCAUCUCGCCUUCCUCUCCUGAUUUUCUAGGACAGCAGCAAAACGUCUUUGCUCUGGUCCAUCCUUCAUCUCGGUGAACACACUGGUGGCCAGCACAGGGGUCCUACCACUGACUCUGCUCCUGCCACACUUUCAGUACAGGUGCUCCCUCUCCUUCCUAAGCACAGAAAUUUAACUCAUCCCAUUUUUUAAAAUUGUAUUUUUUUUUACAUCACCCAAACUCAGUGCAGUAGACAACGUAAACAAGUGAGCCCCCAUUCCCUGAGCCCUGCCCGCACAUUUAACCCAGCACCACCCACACACCAUCCCGUGCCUUCCUUAGAAAACAGCUCAUUACCCUUCGCUGCCAGAGCCGGGAGAGCUACAAGCACUCGGUGGGGGGAGGUUACUGUGGGAUGGCACCGGGUGCUGGUCCCCACAUCACCUGCCCCGAGUGCCUGCCAGCAGCAAUUAAAUCAGCCUUCAAAGAGAGAUCCCAGCUUUCCCAGCACCAUUAGCCGUGCCCUGGAGGGAACACGGUCUAUUUUCAGCCACAAUGACUUCAGAUCAGGUCACCAGCAGGUUAAAUGGGACUGUGCAGCAUCAUCUCCCUGCCCUCCCAUUGAGAAAUUAAACACCGCUGUGUGAUGGGCAGCACCAGCCCCGCCGACACACGCUGGGCGCCCACUGAAAGGUAAAUGCCACCUGCCUGCUCCUCCCCUCGGCUUCCCAUUGCUGGCCAGGGACAUCCACUGCCCUGACUGCCUUUCCUCUGCGUGGGGUGGUGAGUGGGAUCACCCCUGGGUUCCUCCCUGCCUGUCCUCCUGCCCAGCACGGUGAGGGGUCAUGGCCAGAACAGCCCACACCAUGCCCCAAGCCCGGGAGUGCUGGAAGGAGCCUCAGCACCCCCAGUUCUGCAAACCCAAACACACAACCCCAGACCAGGGCUGCUCAUCUCACCCCUCCCUCCAGAAAUCGGGUGGCCCAACUGCAAGUCUCCAAGUCACCGGUUUCUCCAGGGUUUCACCACAGCCACCAGAGAGGUUGCAUCUCCCUACAGCAGCUCCAUCUGCUUCCCUGGUAGGUCCACCACUGAAACCCAAACAGUCACCCCACCACUAACAUCUGGCAGAGAGGUGGCAGCUGGAUGUGGGUUUGUUUUGCCUCCCAGGCCCCUGCCAGGCGCAGUCAGCACGAGCCAGGAUGACUCAAAGCCCUGGGAGACGCAGCCUCCGUCGCUGCUUAUUGUAAACCCUCCUGUUUGCAAAGCAGCUGCCGUGGCUCAGCAUCUCUUGGGGUGCCUUGCAAAGGGGGGUGGCAUUGCAACGGAAAACUGAGGCACAGCCCCCCAUUUGGACCUGAACAUCCCAUCACCAACACGUGUGUGCUCAGCAUUGGCACUGCAACCACUGCACAACACAGGGGUCCUGGCAGUGAAAGGGAACUGGCUCCCAGAAACACCCCAGGGCUGGAGCAAGGACAUUGCCAAUGACCCAAACGUGUUCAUCAACUCCAGCUUCACGAUUCCCACUUGGAUACAGCACGGCCAGGACAGGGUAAGUGCAAGGUGAAGCUGGAUGUACCUGCAUGUAGUGCUCUGUGUGCCAUGGGAGUGAACACAUCCCUCUCCCAGAGCCCAGUGCUGACCUCCUGCAGGGACCAAAACCACCCCAAAAGAAAUUCAACAACAGGCUGCAGGCAUCUAUGGGUGGAAGAAGGGAUCCACUCACAGAUCACAACUCCAUAAGCCUCUUUCCCUUAGAAAACCAGGCUCAAAAGCUCAGCUUCUGCCCAGCCUCUCCUCUUGACCCCACAUUCAGUCCUUUUUCCUUCCAGAGGCUCCUGUCCUUCCCACAUCCUCCUGAACAUCAGUCUACGUCAGCUCUUCUGCACCAAAAAAGUGCCACAACAUGAAGCAAAGGGGUGUCUGUGGUCAGCAAACGCCCAGGACCCCACACCUCCCCUCCACCAAUAACAGGAGAUAAACGCAGAGGCAAAUAUUAUGGUGGUGUGGUUUAAUUCCUGAUGAAUUAUGCAAAUCCAUAUUCAAAUUGAAGCGCAGCCCUUGGGCUCUUGACAAAUUGCCAAGCUGGCCCUGAUGUCACCAGGCAGGGAUGGUCAGCCCUCUGCCAGGUAAGGCACUAAAUGGGUGCCUCAUAUAUGUACAUACACGCACACGAAAAUGCUUCCAGAUCUCAACUGCAGAGACCAAGGAGCACCUGCAAGAACAAUUCAAGAGUGACUUUUGCACUUCUCCUUCCUCCCAGCUGCAUUUAGUGUGUCCAGGGAAGGCCACCAGGUUUUUGAGUCCUCCACAAGAUGGAAGCAGCUUGGGCUGAUGGUGAGAUUCAAAGCAGGACAGAAGAUAAAAUCCACCAUGGCUGGGGCUGGAAAAGAGGGGAUGCAGAGGGGGCGGGAGGGGAAAGCCUAAAACACUUCUGCCAAUAAUAAUGUCAGCCCUGAAGCCGAGGAAAGGAAGAUCUGUCCACAAAAUAGUCACAGAGAGAGCUCAUCUGAUGAAAGUAGGAAUUUCCGAUUCCACACAAACCCCGAACAUCCAUUAAAAGUAGCAGAAGAAUUGCUGCUUUGUGUCACUAAUCUCAUUAGGGAGAAAGCCCCGCUGUAACGCAGGGAUUGCAAAGGGAAACCCCGGCAGGCUGCACAUGCCAGGAGCCCGGCACGGUGUGUCUGCCCGGCCGAGCGGAGCCGGGGCUUCCACCGGCACCUCAGCAAGGUGGAACUCACCUGCCUGGAUCUUCACUCACUGGAGUAUUAUUAUUAUCUCCUUGGCUUCUAUGUGACAUGGCAUGUAGGAUGUCCCCCCACUCAGCAGACCAGGACACAAACAGCAGAACAACACAUGAUAACGCAGGGGUUGCUUCAUCCACACACGGCGACCGGCGCUGCCUGCAAGCAGCACAGAGCCCAAUCCCUCCAAAACCCUUCCUCCCCACCACGCUGGCCAUUCCAAUUAUUAUUUUUAAUUUUUUUAAUUAAAAGCAAUUAAACCAAAUGGACCAAAAGCAUAUUCAAGUCCCAGGGAAUUCUGCUGAGAUGGGAUGGGGGCAGAGAGGGAAUCAGGGGUAAUACAUGUAACCACCAAAGGUAAAAAGGGUUGUUUGCUGUCAGGGAUGCAGCAGGAUAAGAUGGAUGGAGGCAGAAGCAGGAGCAACCUUUGCAGAAGUUGCCGGGGAUACAGCUCCAGAGAAACAGGCUGAGUGCCUUAAAAUCUACAUUUUUCCUGUAAGAAAGCAUAUUCUCUCCUGAACAGAGCACACUGCUCCGAGCCCACCAUGUUUGGCUUGCCUGCCUGCAUCCAGCUCCCUCAAAAUGGCUCUUUGGCCACUGCUGGCAAUAAAAUUUAUUCCCAAGGUCACUUCAAUCCUUGAGCCACUAUUUCAAGUCUGGCUGGAUUUAAACAAAACCCAGCCUCAUAUACACCGAGUUCCCCCCUCAGCCCCUCCUUUCUGCCCAUCACCUCCCUGAUUUAGAGAUACCAAACUCUCAACUACCUUUCGCUUCCCAUAACCGUCAGCGAACAGCUGGAGAGGGAAACGGGAGCAUAUUGUGCACCCAACAGCUGAUCCUGGCGGCGUGGGGAGGGAGCCCAACUGUCACCGCCGCGGCGCUGCCAUACGGGGCUCCCGCCGCGCGUCCCCCAGCCAGCACGGACAUGGACAGGGCUAAAGGGUUUGUGUGGUGCUGUCCCCUUGGUGUUUAAGAGCCGGAGAGAAGCGAACAAUAAGCAAAGAAAAUCAACAGCAGGGAGAGAGGGCGUCGGUGGGUGCAUCGCGAUGCCUGCAGGCAUCCAGCUGCGCCAUCCCGGAGCGAAGCCAGUCAGAAACGCAGGGCUAGGAGGAAACACGGGGAGAAGGAAACCACCAAAUCCUCGUGGUCAGGGUGAGGCAGCCACACCGGAGUGCUCCACUCCCAAACUUUGCUUUUUAAACAGUAUCUCCAGCUGGAAAAGCCAGCAAGGGGCUGCAAUGCCGGACACAGCACUGCUCGCUCACCCCCGCUCCACCGGCAGGGAGCUCAGGGCUGCCCUCGGCUCUUCACCGUCCCAAACCCCGCCUGCAUUUUCAGGUCGUUCAGGGUGCACUGGGCUCUCCAUUUCAGCAACGAGGCCGAACAAAGCACUCCCUUGUCCUCAGCACCUCGAGCAGGCGAUGCUGGAUCGCGUUACCUAACCCAGACCAACAUCUCCUCAUCCCGGCACGGCAGCUUUCAUGUCAGCACAUGCCAGGCUGGCCCCGAUUCCCUGCACCACCUCCCGCCCGAAGCUUUAACUGGACCAGUUUAGUACACGGUGCAAACACACGGGGCCUUGUUCCGACUCGUCGGCGCUAACCCCAGCUCCAGGAGGUGAUCCGACACCCGCCCGCCGGUUGCAGCCGCGGUAGAACCGCAAGGCGCUCACCUGGAAAGCUGCCGUAAUGACGUUAAUUCCCCUCAACAAUGUUCAUUUCCAUAUUCAUCAGAAGAUGGUGAAAUGACAAGAUGGGGGGUUAUUUACUGGAUAAUUAUAAACUAAUUUCAGCCUUACCCUGGGUUAUCCUAGGAAGGAGAUCUAAAAUUUCCCUUACGAAAGCCCUGCUCUGGUAGCCACGUCUGCAGCGAGAUUAAUUCCCAGCAAUUUCCAUUUCUCCAACAGCUGCUGUGCUGGGAAAGAGCAGGAGCCUGUCCCCAACACCAGGGACCUGCCUGGUGCCCCAUGCCACCACCAGCUAGGAUUUCUAGUACCGGCUCAUUCUCCGGAUCAGAUUUUCUCUGGCACAACAUCAGUCAGGGAUGGAACCUGUGGUUUUCCAACCCCACCAAGGAGAUUCAGUGCUGGGUAGGAGAAGGGCUGUUAAUAAAUCACACCUUUACCAGCCUUGUGUACCAGAGGCAGGGACAGGCUCCCACUCAUUCACCUAGGGAAGGUAUUAGAAAGCCUCAUACAGUAGAGGAUCCCACAGGACCUUGCUCCGAGCUAGUUUACGUCACCACGUUUGCCCUUGGGCUCCUGUCCAUGUUCCAAGACACACGUCCCCACCACCAGCUACCAGCACUUGGGAUGGGAACUUCAAUGGGGUGUUGCAGGACAGGGUGGACAGUCCUUCCCAUCCCUUCUAAAGUAUGGAGACACCACCCCACAACCCACUCGACCACCAGGACCUCAGGAAAAUCACUGGGACAUCAGAGAAAAACCAGAGCGCAUGGUGGGAGACUCCCAAAAACGCACCAAGUACCUUUUCCACCACCAUCUCAGCCUGAAGACACUGCUCCUGCCUCCCUCACAGCCUGCAAGUUGGCUGCCAGCCCAAGGGAGCUGCAGGGACAUCACUUCAUGGCCGAGCGCUUCCUCCACCCCCAGGGACGCCGGGUGUGAAGAGGAGAGUGCGAGGGGACCAAGUACAACACCCAGGCCAGCAUCACCUCCCUGAGUCCCACCGGGACAAGCACAGCCACUGCUCUGCCUGAAAACAUGUAUCAAAAAGCAUCUAAUUUCACCAGGGCCCCAAGGGAGGAGAAACAUCCCCACAGGCAGGUCUCCAGCCCGUCCACAUUCCUCCUGGUGUUACACUGCGAGCCACUGCCCCAAGGAGCCCCCCACGCUCAGCCCCUCGCACCACCCCCAGGGCGGGCAGGGAGGGGGAACCGCGAUUUCAAGGGCCAUUAAACACCGAUGGUAUUUUCCUUGCAGCAUCAAAACGUGACCAAAAAGAGUUGCGUUCGAGCGGGUCUGGGAGCUGCCAUCCUCCCCAGCCGAGUUACAGGAAGAAGCGGGGCACGGAUCAGUCCGGCACUGAAUCCAUGCUAUCCUGGUAUCUCUAUCAGCGAAGCAAUUUUAGCAUGGAUGCAGUCGGAUGAGUAAAUUGUGCUUCCGCUGGCACUGCCGACAGCAAGGCCUCCUGCAAAAUCUGCGGGCUCAGCAGAAGCACCAUUUUGCCAUUAUAAGGAUGGCUACAGCGGGAUUUUGCUGGCACAGCAGCGCUAUCCUGGGGGGAAGGGUAUUUUUAUUUCUUUUCCUAUGCUCCUACCUGGCCCAGCUGACUGGAAAACUUCUCCCUGGGCACAGCAGGCCUGGAAGCAGGGACAGUCUCCAAUCUGCCUUAAAUCCCUGCAUUUGAAUGCACAUGCUAAUGUGGAAGUAAGAAAACAAGGAAACCAAAUCUCUCCCCUCUGUCUGACCACUUUCCUUCCAGCCACUACUCUGGAGCUGGAUUUAACAUAGUCAGCUUUGCUCAUACUGCUGUGUGUCCCUUUUGCCAGGCACGGGAAAGUGUUCCUGAAGUAUAUUUUAAUGGAAGAGGCUGAGAAUCCUUUUAUAUAUAAACAGAUCUGUUCCAGCAGCCCCCACCCAAGAAAAGAUACUUCAGCAUACAGGAAAAAACAUAUUUUUAAUUAUUAUGAUUAUUAUAUUAAACUCAGAGAAUCUUUUUUUGGAUGUGGGUGAUCCUUGCUCACACACAGCCCCGCUGCUGCCUGGCAGGGACACGCUCCCAGAGCAGCCCUUUGCAAUCACGUCUGGGGGAGCCUUUUCCACCUCCCCCAAAACACAAGAGGCUGCCAAGAACAACACACUCCACCAAGAUGGAGCUGAGACUGGGACCCGAAUACAGUGGGGCAGGGAAGGAGUAAAACAACAAAACCCUCAUAUUUUGAGCCGCUCAAUAGACUCCACUGCCCCACUCCAUCGGUUGCAGCCUUUUUUUAUGCAAGGUCUUUCCAGCAAGCUCCAGUCAUGGAAUUCCAUUGCAAACAGUCCCCUUCCUCCCCUGUCCCUCGACAAGGCCCAUCGGGAGCACCCCACUGCUCCCCAGCCCCCAUAACCCCCCUGCCCUCCUCAAGGAUGGGGAGAUGGCGACGGCGGAGAGCACCGGGGGACAGGGAAUGGCAGCCCGGCAUCGAGGGCCGGCUCAUCUCCCGCCUCAGCCUCCAGCUCACUCCUCCCUCCAUGAGCUUCCAACAAAGGGGCUUCUGUCCCCAUCCCCUCAGCCUGCACAGCAGCGUUCAAAACACUACCAGGGAGCAGAAAGCCCCCAGAGAGGAGCCGAAGGUCCAGGGGUCACUGGACGCAGCCCAGGUGCCCGUACUUUGGCGCUGGGGCAGAGCUCGACUGCCGGAACGAGCAGAGGGUACGGGAAAAACAAGGAGUCAGUGCCGGCGAUAACUGGAUUCUCAAAUAUGGCCAAUCGUGCUAUUUUUACAGGGGCGUAUUUAUUUUCGGAGGACGCUGGGACAGAUUCAAGAGUCUCUUUCUUCAGCCCGGCGGUAUUUAAGGAUCGGUUUGAACUGGCUCUAUUUAAAGGCUUCGCCUCCUGCCCACUUUUCUUAACCCCUUGCACAAGCCUUUGCUUUCCACCCUUCCAAACCCCUCCUAAAAACGAAACAACCCCCCUCAAAAAACCACAACAACAACAAAAAAAAUCCACGAACCAACAGCACUGCAAAUGCAAACCUACAAAGGGCCCCUCGGUAGCAGGAAGCAAUCAUCAUUCCAGGCGAUAUUGUUAAAGCCGUAAAAAACAACAACAAAAAAAAAUACCCCUGCCUAUCCCACUGCUGUGGUUUAAUGGGAGUUUCGGCUGUUAAUUGUAUGGAUCUUUUUAAUGGAGUUUAGCCUGGUUGGGAAUUGCCGUGACGAAGCCGAUCAUGCCGGGGAGCGGAGCGGGAGACCGGGUGCCACGGAGAGGGGGGAUUUCAAAAGACUUCCAGACAAAAGAAAGCAAAAAUAAUAAAAAAUUAAAUAAUGAAAAUAAUAAGAACAACGUUAAAAAAAAAAUGGAGGUAUCGCAAACCCCAUUCCCUCUGGGAGGGGAUCCAAAUCUGAGGCUCGCUCCCAGCGCAGCAGGAAAGCUCCCGGACGGCAUCACGGAGCUUGGUCGGCUCAGGGAGGCCAGAGCUCAGUGUCUCCCUCAUGGCCUGCCUGGAUUUCAGGAAAGGAACUUUGGAAAGAGAAAUAAAACAGGAAAAAAAAAAAAGGAACAAAAAAAGAAAAUUACCCCAUAAAAAAUAAGAAUAAUCAAAAAAAUACCGAAACCCACACUCGGUUUGGCUUGAGAUUGUCCAGACAAAUUUUUGCAGAGAUCGUAUUGUGCUUCAGCAGGAGGUGGAGGAAAGGGGGGGAAAAAUAACCAGGGAACAAAAAAAAAAAAAAAAAAAAAAAAGGAGGAAAAAAAAAGACAAAAGGGAAGUAAAAAAGGUGUUUGCCCAUGUGCUUGGCUUCAUAGCCCAUUCUCUUUACACCUCUCCUCUUAGCACCUGGGAAAUUGGCACUGCCACCUAGUCUAAAACUAAUAAAUCUUUUUCCCUCGAUUCGGGCUGCUUCCUUCUCUGCAGAUGUUGGCAAUCAGGUUUGCAAAUUUCAAAGUCAUUCAUCCCGGGCGGCUGGGAAAAGAGCAGGUUUAUUAUUGCAAAACCUGUCACCCUCCCAACGCCUAAAGUAAACUCCGAGUCACCUCUUCGCGCCCAGGGGAAAGAAAAGGGAAAAAAAAAUUAAAAAUAGAGCCAGAGAGUAGAAUCAAACGGUCAGAAAUCCCUCGUGUCCUCCCAGGGAAAGCAGCGGGCAGGAACGCGGGCAGGAGGGUGCAGGCAGCGUCCUGCCGGCAGUGCCGGACCCCGCGAGUCGCUGGGAAAGGGAGCUCGGAAAGGGCGAUAAAAAUAAGAAACCUCUAAAAAACAAAAGUAAUUCAAACUAAUAAAUAAAAAGCUGACUGUGGGAAAAAAAAA